rnacentral:rRNA from 1 species
UACGUAGGGUCCGAGCGUUGUCCGGAAUCAUUGGGCGUAAAGAGCGUGUAGGCGGUCCGGUCAGUCGGUUGUGAAAGUCAAGGGCUCAACCCUUGAAUGCCGGCCGAUACUGCCGGGCUAGAGUCCGGAAGAGGUGAGUGGAAUUCCUGGUGUAGCGGUGAAAUGCGCAGAUAUCAGGAGGAACACCGAUGGCGAAGGCAGCUCACUGGGACGUACUGACGCUGAGACGCGAAAGCGUGGGGAGCAAACAGG